AGUCAAUAGAUACCCGGGUAGUCCACGCCCUAAACUAUGUCAACUAGGUGUUGGGUGGGUAAAACCAUUUAGUACCGUAGCUAAACGCGUGAAAGUUGACCGCCUGGGGAGUACGGCCGCAAGGUUAAAACUCAAAGGAAUUGACGGGGACCCGCACAAGCGGUGGAUGAUGUGGAUUAAUUCGAUGCAACGCGAAAACCUUACCUACCCUUGACAUGCCAGGAACUUGCCAGAGACGGCUUGGUGCCCGAAAGGGAGCCUGGACACAGGUGCUGCAUGGCUGUCGUCAGCUCGUGUCGUGAGAUGUUGGGUUAAGUCCCGCAACGAGCGCAACCCUUGUCGUUAAUUGCCAUCAUUUGGUUGGGCACUUUAACGAGACUGCCGGUGACAAACCGGAGGAAGGUGGGGAUGACGUCAAGUCCUCAUGGCCCUUAUGGGUAGGGCUUCACACGUCAUACAAUGGUCGGUACAGAGGGUUGCCAAGCCGCGAGGCGGAGCCAAUCCCAGAAAGCCGAUCGUAGUCCGGAUUGCAGGCUGCAACUCG
rnacentral:rRNA from 1 species